UGGAAUCAGGUUUCGAACCUGCAACUCUCCGGUCCAAAAGUUGACACCUUACCAUUAGGCCAUUAUUACC